rnacentral:tRNA from 1 species
AGGGAAUAAAGUAAUCUUGGAAAAGUGCUAAUUUUUCUAAACCACGGUUAAAAUCCAUGGGUCCCUUG